rnacentral:rRNA from 1 species
UACGGGAGGCAGCAGUGGGGAAUAUUGCACAAUGGGCGAAAGCCUGAUGCAGCUAUGCCGCGUGUAUGAAGAAGGCCUUAGGGUUGUAAAGUACUUUCAUCGGGGAGGAAAAAACAAAACUAAUAAUUUUAUUUCUUGACGUUACCCGAAAAAGAAGCACCGGCUAACUCCGUGCCAGCAGCCGCGGUAAUACGGAGGGUGCUAGCGUUAAUCAGAAUUACUGGGCGUAAAAGAGCACGUAGGUGGUUUUUUUAAGUCAGAUGUGAAAAUCCCUGGGCUUAACCUAGGAACUGCAUUUUGAAACUGAAAUACUAGAGUAUCGUAGAGGGAGGUAGAAUUCUAGGUGUAGCGGUGAAAUGCGUAGAUAUCUGGAGGAAUACCUGUGGCGAAAGCGGCCUCCUAAACGAAUACUGACACUGAGGGUGCGAAAAGCGUGGGGAGCAAAACAGGGAUUAGAUACC